UGCAGUCGAGGGGUAUAUGUCUUCGGAUAUAGAGACCGGCGCACGGGUGCGUAACGCGUAUGCAAUCUGCCUUUUACAGAGGGAUAGCCCAGAGAAAUUUGGAUUAAUACCUCAUAGCAUUGCAUGAUGGCAUCAUCGAGCAAUUAAAGUCACAACGGUAAAAGAUGAGCAUGCGUCCCAUUAGCUAGUUGGUAAGGUAACGGCUUACCAAGGCUACGAUGGGUAGGGGUCCUGAGAGGGAGAUCCCCCACACUGGUACUGAGACACGGACCAGACUCCUACGGGAGGCAGCAGUGAGGAAUAUUGGACAAUGGGCGCAAGCCUGAUCCAGCCAUGCCGCGUGCAGGAUGACGGUCCUAUGGAUUGUAAACUGCUUUUGUACGAGAAGAAACACUCCUAUGUAUAGGAGCUUGACGGUAUCGUAAGAAUAAGGAUCGGCUAACUCCGUGCCAGCAGCCGCGGUAAUACGGAGGAUCCAAGCGUUAUCCGGAAUCAUUGGGUUUAAAGGGUCCGUAGGCGGUUUAAUAAGUCAGUGGUGAAAGCCCAUCGCUCAACGGUGGAACGGCCAUUGAUACUGUUAAACUUGAAUUAUUAGGAAGUAACUAGAAUAUGUAGUGUAGCGGUGAAAUGCUUAGAGAUUACAUGGAAUACCAAUUGCGAAGGCAGGUUACUACUAAUGGAUUGACGCUGAUGGACGAAAGCGUGGGUAGCGAACAGGAUUAGAUACCCUGGUAGUCCACGCCGUAAACGAUGGAUACUAGCUGUUGGGAGCAAUCUCAGUGGCUAAGCGAAAGUGAUAAGUAUCCCAC
rnacentral:rRNA from 1 species